rnacentral:lncRNA from 1 species
CACAAAGUCAGAAGGUAUCCUUCCGCAAGCCAGGAAGAGAGCCAUCACCAGAACUCAACCAAGUUGGCAAGUUGGUCUUGGAUUUCCAAGCCUACAGAACUGUGAGAAUUACAUAUCUGUGUUUAGGCCCCCCAUCUAUGUUAUUUUGUUAUGGCAGCCUAAGCAGACUGAGACAUCUGGCAAAAGAGCUUGUUAAUACUCUCCUGAAUUUACCCUCAAAAUGCAGAUCCUGCCCCGCCAAGUUAAUAUUUGGUGGACAGCUGAUAUGAUUUUGCUGUGUCCCUGCCCAAAUCUCAUCUUGAACUGUAGUUCCCACAAUCCCCAUGUGUCAUGGGAGGGACCUGGUGGGAGGUAAUUGAAUCAUGGUGGUGGUUACCUCCAUGCUAUUCUCAUGAUAGCAAGUAAGUUUUCACAAGAGCUGAUGGUUUUGUAAGGGGAUUUCCCCCUUUUUCUCAGCAAUUCUCCUCCUACCAUCAUGUGAAGAAGGACAUGUUUGCUUUCCCUUGUGCCAUGACAGAAAGUUUCCUGAGGCCUCCCCAGCACUGCAGAACUGUGAGUCAGCUUGCCACAGCUACCUUGGAUGGUAAACUCCAGCUCUUUCUAGCUGAGUAACCACUGACCUGUGAGCUGGGUCCAGGAAUGCUGUGAGGAACAACUUAAAAGUAAGAAGUAGUGGUUCAUCCAUCAGGGGGCCAGAAGCAGCAACUGUUUUUCAUAUUUUGAGACUUGCCUCAGAUUUCCCCCGUUUGCAAGCUCCUCCCCUCUGUGUGUGCCAUGUCAGAGUUUUAUGUCUUUCUGCUCCUCAAAAGGGAUCCCCUUCAUUGGGAAAAUGGAAAUGGCGUCCAGUACUUCUGCACAGAAUUUGGUAAAGUUAAAACAAAAUAUCUUUCAAUAAAACAUAAUAUAGUAUUUGUUUGAUAAUUAGAGUUGGAAGAAAAAAGAGAGAAUUUCUUUUGGGCAGUGAAAAUAAAGCAGUUAACAGUCCUAACUGGCUCUGGUCUUCUGAUUAGUCGGCCCAUGGCUCUGCAUGGUGAGCGUGGGUUCUGUGUGGUGAGCGUGG